rnacentral:misc_RNA from 1 species
AUUCCUCCCACAAGUAACCUUAGCUUUCAUCCUUGCAGCUCUAGCCACCUGUUCGUAAUGGUAUGCAGCACGUCGAACCCUUCUGGGGAGUGCAGCGAGCAUAUCAUCACCAAGAACGCUUACCAAACAUCCCUCAACCUUGUACUUGUGAGCCCAAGAGUUGAAGAUGAUCAGAUUCCAAAGACUGUUUCUGAAGGUGGUAUCGGUUGCACCGGUCGGCAAUUGGUUCUCAACUACGGCGGACACGCCGUACUUCGAGUUGUAAGCUGUGAACCUAUUGCUUGCCCUGUGUAACUUAAGAAACCACCUUGGACACCCCAACCUUCGCAUGAAGGCAAUUUCCAACUCCAUGACAUCCUUUACCUGAGAAGAAUCGUUGGCAGUAAAAUCUGCUUCCAUGAAACUCUUGCCUCUUUUGGACUCCAAGAAUUCCACAAUCUCCGGCGAAUGUUGUUUGUAAGCGAGUUGGAAAGAAAACCUCUUAGGAGAUUUCUCACAUGACUUGAACCUCUCCAUCAAAACCUUGAAUAUUGGUCCAGACACCAUGUUAUAGUAGUCAGUGCCCUUGAAGAUGACUCUGGGAGCCACCUUGUCAUGGUCUUUUACUAGAGCUUCUAUCUUCGUGAAAAUCUCCUUCGUCGAGUAGUCCUUUAACUUCUCCAGCCCUUCUUCCUCAUAGACCUU